rnacentral:rRNA from 1 species
GAUGAACGCUAGCGGGAGGCCUAACACAUGCAAGCCGAGCGGUAUUUGUUCUUCGGAACAGAGAGAGCGGCGCACGGGUGCGGAACACGUGUGCAACCUGCCUUUAUCUGGGGGAUAGCCUUUCGAAAGGAAGAUUAAUACCCCAUAAUAUAUUGAGUGGCAUCAUUUGAUAUUGAAAACUCCGGUGGAUAGAGAUGGGCACGCGCAAGAUUAGAUAGUUGGUGAGGUAACGGCUCACCAAGUCAAUGAUCUUUAGGGGGCCUGAGAGGGUGAUCCCCCACACUGGUACUGAGACACGGACCAGACUCCUACGGGAGGCAGCAGUGAGGAAUAUUGGACAAUGGGUUAGCGCCUGAUCCAGCCAUCCCGCGUGAAGGACGACGGCCCUAUGGGUUGUAAACUUCUUUUGUAUAGGGAUAAACCUACUCUCGUGAGAGUAGCUGAAAGUACUAUACGAAUAAGCACCGGCUAACUCCGUG